UACGGAGGGUGCGAGCGUUAAUCGGAAUUACUGGGCGUAAAGCGCAUGCAGGUGAUUUGUUAAGGCAGAUGUGAAAGCCCGGGGCUCAACCUCGGAAUUGCAUUUGAAACUGGCAGGCUAGAGUACUGUAGAGGGGGGUAGAAUUUCAGGUGUAGCGGUGAAAUGCGUAGAAAUCUGAAGGAAUACCGGUGGCGAAGGCGGCCCCCUGGACCGAUACUGACACUCAGAUGCGAAAGCGUGGGGAGCAAACGGG
rnacentral:rRNA from 1 species